AUACAUAUAGCUUAUACCUUAAAGCAUUUUAUUGAAGAUAAAACCACCUCUCCACUCUGAA
rnacentral:tRNA from 1 species